rnacentral:rRNA from 1 species
GACGAACGCUGGCGGCGUGCCUAACACAUGCAAGUCGAACGGAGUUAAGAAGGAGCUUGCUUCUUCUUAAUUUAGUGGCGGACGGGUGAGUAACGCGUGAGUAACCUGCCUUUCAGAGGGGGAUAACGUUCUGAAAAGAACGCUAAUACCGCAUGACAUUGUUGAGUCACAUGGCUCGGCAAUCAAAGGAGCAAUCCGCUGAAAGAUGGACUCGCGUCCGAUUAGCUAGUUGGUGAGAUAAAAGCCCACCAAGGCGACGAUCGGUAGCCGGGCUGAGAGGCUGAACGGCCACAUUGGGACUGAGACACGGCCCAGACUCCUACGGGAGGCAGCAGUGGGGGAUAUUGCACAAUGGAGGAAACUCUGAUGCAGCAACGCCGCGUGAGGGAAGAAGGUUUUCGGAUUGUAAACCUCUGUCCUUGGUGAAGAUAAUGACGGUAGCCAAGGAGGAAGCUCCGGCUAACUACGUG